UUUUUUUUUUUUUACUGGCUUGGUUAGCUUCUUUAAUUAUUUUCUGGAUUCAGUGACUUCCUCUGUUAACUACUGUAGGCAUAGCAGGGAAUAUUGUACUGUUGUCCUAAGAAUUAGAGGUUAUCUAGGGGUGAUGCAGAUAGAGUGGUAAAUGUUCUUAUUUGUGAAAUCAUGAAGAAACUCUAGGACAGGUUCUAAACUUCAAAAGUUUUAGUCCAGAGUCCUAACAAGAACAUUAUGCAGUACACUCUCUUGUGGCUACUUGCUGACAUAAUUAAUUUCCUGUCACAUCAAAAGAUAUUGUCAGAUUCAGUCCUUGUGCCUUCAAUGUAUUGCUCAGCUGAAACAUUUUGUUCUGAACUCCAAAGGCAACACUAUUAUGGAACAAAUAGCAAUAACAUCCAGAGCUGCUGGAUCUCAAGAAAAUCCAUGGGGAGAACUAUUUCAGUUUCAGUUCCUGGGGUCACUCAUUGCUGCCUGGCACUUCCUGGAUAACUACAGCUAGCACUCUCUCAAAAGGAAGGCAAACUUGUGUGAAGCCAUCACCACCUUCCACCAGGCUUUUCCUGAAGGUCUUAAGUGUUGCCAUUCCUUCAAAUUCUCCAUAUGCCAAAUGAGCUUGGAGCUUGGCUGCAGCAGACAACAAAAACUUCAGCUUUCCAGUACAUUACAACCAACCUGAAAGCAAGCCAAGCCACCUGAGACUGUCUGGACCCCUUUACUCUCCUCACAGUAAAGACCAGCAGACCAGAACUGGUGCAGAUAUUGGGGAGAUCUCAGCCCUCCUCAGAGCUGGCAUCCUAUAGCUGGCAUCAUUAAGAGAAGAGAGCAGGAGCAGGAAAAUAGUUACUGCAAACCCUCUGCUCCUGCACCUUCUCUUUGUAUUGCAUACAGACCUGGCCCCAGAACAGUAGAAAAGUAGUAGAGAAGACUCUGCUAUACAUACCUGGCACAGGAGAAGGGUUUGAGCACGCAGGGGAAAUACAAGAGGAGCAGAGCUGAGUUUGACUCAGAAGUUUUGAAGUAACUAAUGUAGGAUCAGAGCUGAUUAGAGCAUGGUGCCAGUUAUGGCAAAGUUGCAGGUCGAAUCCCAGUAUGAGCUAUUUAUUUAAGAGUUGGACUGGAUUAAUCUUGUGGGUCCCUUCUAACUCAGAAUAUUAUGUGAUUCAAGAUUGAAAACACUGAUUAGACAGACGCAAGACCAGAAAAAUGAUGAGAAAGAAAUAGUUUAUUAAGAAGAAAUAAUUAAAUAUUGUUUUAUUUGCUAGGAAAGUGGUGGGAGCCAUAUGGGGAAUGCACUGUAGCAAUUAACAUGACCAUAAUAUGAUUUGCAACACUAGCAGCACAUACUCUUUCUCUCUUUCAUACAAACACAGAGACAAUGUUGUGUACUGCAGUAACAGUUCAAAAUUCAAAGGGCAGACUCAGAAAAGUAUAACCCAGCAUUUUUGGAAUCCCUGGACUUCAAAGUGCUGUAAGACUUCAAAAGUCCUCUCAUCCAAAUGUUGUCAACACUUCAGCCUCCUAAUUAAGUAAUAUCUGAGAUGUGGCUUUAUUUUGGGUGCACCCAAAUGGGCUGUGUUGCAUUAAAACAUUGUCUUACAUUCAUUGAUUACUAAGGAGUAAUUCUCCCUUAUUCUAAAGCCCAUAACUAAUUAAACUCCUCAUUGUGCUUUGUUGAUAGCAAAACCAUAUAAAACCAAGAACACAAGCACUUUUUAUGAUACUUUCAGUCGAGCAUGCAGUCAUCCAUCCCACUUGCCUUCUAGGAAUAUAUUUUUCUGUACUUUGUAAAAUUUGCAUUUUUACAUUCUAACCAAAGCUUAGUCAACAGAUUAAAACCUGUAUUUGCAAGUCACCCUCAGUCUGAGGUGCAGAGGAUCAUUUAGUACCACAAUAGUGCUCUAACUCAGCAGAUCCAAAAUAGUAGCUGGACAAGCAAUUAACAUGAACCUGGAGAACUGAAAUGUUUUAAAAACAGCCUUGCAACUCCAACCUGUAAUAGAAUUAGGUGUCAAGGAACAGUAGUGGUGGUACAAUCAUGACUUUUUGAUCAGCAGUUAUCCAAAUUAGGUUACUUCUAAUUUUUAAUUAUAUUGAACAUUCCCUCAAUGACCCAUUUCUCAUUUACCGUAGUCAGCUGGGCAAAUGCUGCCUCACUGGAUUUCUCCUUUCCUCAAUUAAUCCUUCCUUUUUGAUCCUAUCCUUACAGUGUGCCCUUUUCUUCAAUUUCCACACCUGUGUCUUCUUCAGUUUUGCCUCUGGGGCUGCUUUGUACGUCCCUAAAUUUAUGCAUUGGGCCUUUCUAUUCAUUCAGAUACAUGGAUGUCUGAAGCAUUUCCAUAAUCACUAACUAAAUAUAGUUGGAUGAAUUUGUUUAGGGCAUAGCUUUUAAAGGAAUUACCAAAAAAAAAAAAAAAAAAAGGAAAAAAACCAUAUGAACCUAAUCAAACUUGAUAACCAGGUUCAUUAGGAAUGAGUAAUAAACUCCACAGUCUCUUCUCCUCAACAUUUUCUUUCCUGUUAUUUUCCUUCCCUUUCUGUUUUAAUCUGUUAUAGCUUUCUUUGGUAAGGAUGCUCUUGUUUUAAUUUAGAGAGUUUGGAAAUUCACAUUACUUGAGAACUAAAUCCUAUGUUCUAGUGAAUUAACUCAGUAGCAAUGAGGAAAUAUGUUUCAUAUUGCCAUAAAAACUAAAAUAUUUUGAAAGCCUCUCUAGUUUAUACUGUAUUGCUUCUGCCUUAAGAGGUAGCUCCAGUACCUAGACUCAAAUAAUAUAGAUCUAUCCAUUUUCUACUAGGAAUGUUUUGUUGUACUUCCCUUAAAAAUAAAGGUACCUUAGCUCAAAAUUUGAAAGGGAGUUUUGAAGAUCACAUCUUCACUUAUACUUACAUAAAGAAUUUAAGAGUAUGGUAAUUCAUGUUGCUGCUGUCUCCUCCAAAAGUGACAGCUUUUCAUUGGCUCUUACUGCAACACACAUUGACUUAAGAGGUACCAGAGAGCCUCUCUACCUGUUUAGUACUAGCUUAAAUGCUUACCAGUUUCUCUCUAAAAAAAACCCCACCUAAACAUCCAGUUAAAUCUCCGUCCUGAGAAAUGAAGAUUUUUCAGGGCAUAGAUAUCGUUCCAUUCUAAUCACUCAUCUUUCUGAAGAUGAAACCUCUGAAUCUUCACCCAGAAUCAUCCAGUGUGACAGCUGCGCAGAUGUUCAGACCCAACUCCAUUUCAUCUGCAGGUUUCCAAGUGCUUGUUUGAGAUAUUUAAAAAAAAAAAAAAAAAAAAAAAAAAAAAAAAAAGAAAAAAAACCUUCGAAGACCAAAAAGGUGCUCAGAGGCAACGACAAAAAAUAUCUGCUCUGAUGCUACCUCACUCACAACCAGGACCACUGGAAGGGGAAACACUUUCAUGUACACAGUUUCCUAGGUCAUAGCAUUAACAGCCCUGAAAAAGACCAUUUGUUCAUUGCAUUCACCUUUUCCAUCAGACAGAAUACUUAUUCACAUAGAUGACAAGCUUAUAUUAUAAUACCUCAAUACAUUAAAAUUUUGCCCUAAUUCAAUUGGUAAGUAGCCAUCUGCACCACUGUAAGCCUCUACUUUAGAAAGGGUAAACCUUUCUAUGAAAUGAGGUUUGCCUUACCUGAAGUGUGUCAGAGAUGAAGCACCAAAUCUGUCUUCUAGAACUUGCAGGCAGAUAGAUAACACUGACAGGAGGCUAUACCAACCCCGAAAAGCUGAACAUCAUUGCAUAUUUUUUGAAUGGUACAAUGGUAUCUAACAUAUGGACAAAACACCCUCCCUACCCACAAAUAACUGUAUUUGCUCCUUUCUUACAAAGUGCAUUUCUGACUGUGAGAUAAAAAAAUAAUUAGCAUUUACAAAAUUGCAGGAAAGUCUACCAGGCAUGCUGGCAGUGCAACCUGAAUGUUAAUGGAGACAGUCUGGAGAGAGGGGAGGGCUGUGUACAGUGGACUACUAGGAGGAGGAUGGUUUGAACAUAAAAUGCAUAAAUAUGAAUGGUUGUGGUUGGGAGGGAUCUCUGGACAUCAUCUGAUCAAACUCCCCUCCUCAAGUAAGGUCAUCUAGAGGUGGGUUUUGAAGAUCUCUGAGGAUGGAGACUACCAACUCUCCAGGGAAUAUGUGCCAGGUCAUCCUCAUGGUGAGAAAAUGUUUCCUGGUGUUUAAGUUUGUGCCCAGUGCCUCUUUCCCUGUCACAGGGCACCAAUGAAAAAGAGCCUGACUCCAUCCUCUUCACAACUUCCCUGCAGAUAUUUAGAUACACUGAUGAGAUCCCACUGAACCUCCUCUAGGCUAACAGAUUUCACUUCUUAACGGAGCUGGGAUAGCAGUUGUAAGACAAGAUAGCAUCAGGCAUACACUGCAAGAAAAAUAACAUCCUGGACUUUUUCUGAAGCCAUAGACCAUCAUGGGAAAAGAGCCUCCUUGUUCUACUCUAGGGACCUCAAAAUAUUGUAGUCAACUAGAAAAAACUGUGGAGUUCUGAGCAGUCUGUACUAUAUUGCUGUGACAUCCUGUUGUGGAUUUCUGGGCACACCUUUCCCCAAGGAGCAAACAUCUCUUCUGGCCGAGAAGAAAGAGCCAGCAUAAGAAACACUGAGGUUGAAGCCAGAACUUGUCCUUGAAGGAGGGGAGACAGCUCCCUCUCUAUUUUCUUGCUUCAAAGGAUUGAUUUCCUGGGAAACUGUAUCAAGGUCAGAAGCAUAUUAUGCUCUAUGUGAUUGUGAAAAAGCCUCUGGAGAGUGAUACAUAAAUAUUUACAACUACCACUACUAACCAAACCUGUUUCCAACCUCUGGUCUUUCCAAGGAAGAAAACAGGAUAAUAAGGAAAAAUUGACUUGUGGAGAAUAAUAGCAGUGAAAGUCAAUUUGAAAUUGCUAAUGAAAACUGCAUAUUUAACUGAACAGAAAGAGACCAAAAAAAAAAAAAAUCAAGGAGCAUCUGUAAUUUUCCAAUACAGACUGCAAGUCAGCUGUGACAAGAAUGAUUAACAGGACCAUGCUUUUGUUUUCUUUAUUUUACCCUUGAGAAGAUAACCUUUCAUAUUUUGGUAUAGUAGACACAUUGAUGAUGGUGUUUUUGUGAUGUUGCAAAACUCCACUUUCUUCUCAUCCCCCCUGGGAACAAGUACAUUCAUAUAAUUUAACCACAGCACAUCUCUAUAAAGAACACAAAGACCAGAGGCACAGUACUUUGUGGGGACUCAGGUAUCCUAAUAUCUAUUGUCCACAUCAAAAGCUAGCUGAGAUGAAUUGUCAGAAAAAGAAUAUUCAUAAGA
ensembl:lncRNA